rnacentral:miRNA from 1 species
CAAUGCGAUUUGUCAAUUCCGU